UUGGAAGCUAAAACGACUAUGUAUGUCUCAGAAUGCCCCCAGAGCAGUUAAUGAGAAUGGACUGUGAUUUGUAGGGAAGGAUUAUGAAUCUUUUCAGAGACACAUUUCCAGCACACCCACGUCUCAUUAUCCCAAGUCACGGGAGAGGUUAUGGAAGUAGUGUGGCCCCCAGAGCCUGACCUUCACCUCUCCAGUGCAAUACAGCAGCAAGAGAAUUAGCAGAUAAACAGACGAAAGAAUGAGCAAAUGAAGGAACAAACCAAAGAUCAUUUGUUUUUCUUUUUUUUAAUUUUCAAAAGUUUUUUUUUUUUUUUUUUUUAGACACAGGGUCUCACUAUGUUGCCCAGGCUGGUCUUAAAGGAAUCCUCCCUCUGUGACCUCCCAAAGUGUUGGGAUUACAGGCGUGAGCCACCUCACCCGACCAUAGACCAUCUGUUUCCAGGCCUGAGCUCGAUAAGAAGCCCAGUGCUACAUUUUCAAAGACCUGAGUGGCCACUGAGAGAAUAUCCAAAGACAAUUUAAAUCAGACUGUGGAUGCAAUUAUCACGCGCCCGAUGAUGUGCCUCAUUUUCUAUACAGAGGCCCUUUUCAGGAGAUGCUGUACCUCCAGAUCAUAAAAUCAGGUAGAUGACCUCUGCAGAUCUGGCUGUUCCCAGGAGGGCUGAGCGCAGCAGUCAGAAGCUGGCACGGAAGGGAGAAGGAGGCCGAUGGGAACAGCACUGACAACAGCCCGUGACAGGGCCGGCCCUUCUGUCUGCACCAGCCCAGCACGCCGGGCUGCACAGCAGAUUCUCCAACGCGUCUUCCAGACCUCAGCUUCCACACUGUGACGGUUAGCAAGGCUGACGGGCGUGGACGGCGAGGGGUCGGGAAGAGUGAGAACGUUUAGGAUCAUGCAUGUCUAAUUUUAUUGAAGCAGGGGCCCAUCUAGCUGUGCGGCUGAUUCCAUAUGUCAGGCAGGGCGGCGUGUAAACGGCCCUGAAGUUGCGCCGUCUGUCUGUGUGAACAGGAGCUGCUUCCUCCGCAGGACUCCAGCUGCUGUCCGUGGCCGGGCCAUGCGAUGGAAAUGGAAACAGCAGAGUAAGGCGGUGCUGAUGUGUGUGCCCGAUUUCUCCUCGGGAGGAAAGCCCUCUUGGUGUUGAAGUGAUAUUAGUGUAGUCGCCAUUCUCUGCAACCACCAAGGGCCUGCUGGAUGACUCCUGCUGUCAGUCUUGAAUCCAUGCUCUGUCACGAUGGUAUGCAGAGAAACAGCUCUGCCCAGCCGCGCGGAGAGCAUGCAGCCUGGAGAAUGUUUCUGAAAUCCAGAUUCUCAGAUCAGGUUCUGAGCUGGGGAAAGCCCCGUGUCUCUGGACAGCUCUGGUUUCCAGAGUGAAUAACCCAUCUCCUGUUGGCAGAGACAGCGGUCUGAGUGGGCUUAUUCCUUAGCCGGCAAGCCUUUGGCUUUUCCCGGCUGUCCUGGAGCUGCAGAGCCUUCAGCCGGCCUCUCCGAACGAGUGGUCGCUGGAUCCCGGUUCCUGCUCCACCAGCAGCGACUUUGGAGGCAUUCCUUAGCAGAGGGACUGCGCUGAUUCCAGACAAGGGAAUACACCCUGUGAGACUGACGCUCCUCACUUCCUCAGUCACCACAGGUCCUCCUCCAUCUCUUCUUCUUCUCCUUCUCCUUCCUCUUUCAAAUUGCAGUUUAUUCUCUUUUUCCAGAUUCCAUUUUAUUGCCAACAUCAAACUCUUCUCAGACUUCUGGCACAACUUUGGAAAGGCAUAAAAGCCUAAAAAGGAAUUAAAAACAAACAAACGGGCAAAAAGCCCAGCCCAGUUCCUGCCUUGCUGUGUUUCCUGUUCCUUUGAUUAAGAAAGUGGCCCGCACAACUCACAGAUGCGCCUUCUGGGUCCUCAGGGCCAAUGCGAUUUCCUCCUGAGAUAACAUAUCUGGGACAGCG
rnacentral:lncRNA from 10 species